AAUAGUAGCGCUAAAAUGCAAGUCAAUACUUCCAAUAUGAAAGAUAGGAUGAAUCGUGAGACGAGAAGCACUCGGGCUCAUAACACAAGUUCGAAAUCAUCCAAUUACUGUAUCAAUGACGUCAAAUCAUCAAGAUAUGGGCCUCAAACAAGCCAGCAGAAACCUUACGUAAGUGUACCCGAAAAAAGUAGACCAAAACCGGUUUCGUGUAGCAACAGAGAUACCAAAAAUCUAUCAAGUUCGACAGUGAAAUUAACUCGACCAAUUCGCUAAGGAUAUGCUAGUUCCUAAUACAAAAUUUUCAGUACUUUUCCUUACGAUAGGUAUUUACGUAGAUAUAGAUAACAUUACAUUUGAAUUUCGGUUGAU